CAGUUAUUGACCCGCGCGGCGGCGGCUAGAGGAGACAUCGCGCCGGCGCGGACAAACCUGCCUCCGACAUCCUCUCUAGACUAGACUCAGCCUUGCCUGGGCCCCGCCGCACCAUGCCUGCGCCCUGCGACUCGUGCAAAGGGACGUGCGGCGGUGGCACCGCGGCUUGCGGCGCGGGCUGCACUUGCGGUCCAAGCUGCACGUGCGGUGAUGGCAAGCCUUCUGGUGGCAAGCCUUGCUGCCAGGGCGGUGGCAAAAAGUAAUUUAAAAUUAGAAUCUAUAUAGAUAUUACGUCUUUUCUUAGUAUUACAAUACUUAUAAUCAUAAUAUGAAGAUCUUCAUAUUUUUAUAUUUAAUCAUCUUCUAAAUAUAAGUACACGUAGAUGAUAUUUAUUGAAAAACUCUAUAUUUUAAAUGUCGUAGCGAAAUGCUGUGUCAUGAAAUAAAAUUUUAAUUAAAUUAGGAAUGAAAAAUGUAAUAAUAGCCUAUAUUACUCAAUAAUGUAGCUUCUAAUGGCAGUUUUUUUAAAUUUGAGUUUGGUAAAUACAAAAAUACAAAUCUUUCCUCAUACGAAUAGAUUAGAAAAUAAAUAGAAGAUUAAGGUUUAAUGUAUUUGCUUAGCGUUAAGAAACAUAUAAUAAUUCAUUUUAUCGCAUUCAGUGUUGAGAUUAAGGCAUUGGUAAAUCUUUAGUACUAAUAAUACUCAUUAUAUUUAAGUAAUUGUAUGAAAGCACACACGUAUGUGUAGCGUUAGAGGUUAAAUAAAUGUAGCCAUACAUGUUUUCUUUUCGUUAUGAAGUUACGCGAAUACACAUUGAAUAAAAUUACUUUGAUUGGG